AAGACAUUGUGUCUUCGAGUCGUUGAUUUCACACUGCCGAGAAAAGCCUCUAGAUAGAAAAUAGGUGCCCGUACCGCAAACCGACACAGGUAGUCAAGAUGAGAAUUCUAAGGUGAGCGAGCGAACUCUCGUUAAGGAACUCGGCAAAAUGACCCCGUAACUUCGGGAGAAGGGGUGCUCUUUAGGGUUAACGCCCAGAAGAGCCGCAGUGAAUAGGCCCAAGCGACUGUUUAUCAAAAACACAGGUCUCUGCUAAACCGUAAGGUGAUGUAUAGGGGCUGACGCCUGCCCGGUGCUGGAAGGUUAAGAGGAGUGGUUAGCUUCUGCGAAGCUACGAAUCGAAGCCCCAGUAAACGGCGGCCGUAACUAUAACGGUCCUAAGGUAGCGAAAUUCCUUGUCGGGUAAGUUCCGACCCGCACGAAAGGCGUAACGAUUUGGGCACUGUCUCAACGAGAGACUCGGUGAAAUCAUAGUACCUGUGAAGAUGCAGGUUACCCGCGACAGGACGGAAAGACCCCGUGGAGCUUUACUGUAGCCUGAUAUUGAAAUUCGGCACAGCUUGUACAGGAUAGGUAGGAGCCUUUGAAACGUGAGCGCUAGCUUACGUGGAGGCGCUGGUGGGAUACUACCCUAGCUGUGUUGGCUUUCUAACCCGCACCACUUAUCGUGGUGGGAGACAGUGUCAGGCGGGCAGUUUGACUGGGGCGGUCGCCUCCUAAAAGGUAACGGAGGCGCUCAAAGGUUCCCUCAGAAUGGUUGGAAAUCAUUCAUAGAGUGUAAAGGCAUAAGGGAGCUUGACUGCGAGACCUACAAGUCGAGCAGGGUCGAAAGACGGACUUAGUGAUCCGGUGGUUCCGCAUGGAAGGGCCAUCGCUCAACGGAUAAAAGCUACCCCGGGGAUAACAGGCUUAUCUCCCCCAAGAGUUCACAUCGACGGGGAGGUUUGGCACCUCGAUGUCGGCUCAUCGCAUCCUGGGGCUGUAGUCGGUCCCAAGGGUUGGGCUGUUCGCCCAUUAAAGCGGUACGCGAGCUGGGUUCAGAACGUCGUGAGACAGUUCGGUCCCUAUCCGUCGUGGGCGUAGGAAAUUUGAGAGGAGCUGUCCUUAGUACGAGAGGACCGGGAUGGACAUACCUCUGGUGUACCAGUUGUCGUGCCAACGGCAUAGCUGGGUAGCUAUGUGUGGACGGGAUAAGUGCUGAAAGCAUCUAAGCAUGAAGCCCCCCUCAAGAUGAGAUUUCCCAACUUCGGUUAUAAGAUCCCUCAAAGAUGAUGAGGUUAAUA
rnacentral:rRNA from 1 species